rnacentral:rRNA from 1 species
UGCGGAAUAUUGCACAAUGGGCGCAAGCCUGAUGCAGCCAUGCCGCGUGUAUGAAGAAGGCCUUCGGGUUGUAAAGUACUUUCAGCGGGGAGGAAGGGAGUAAAGUUAAUACCUUUGCUCAUUGACGUUACCCGCAGAAGAAGCACCGGCUAACUCCGUGCCAGCAGCCGCGGUAAUACGGAGGGUGCAAGCGUUAAUCGGAAUUACUGGGCGUAAAGCGCACGCAGGCGGUUGAUUGAGUCAGAUGUGAAAUCCCCGGGCUUAACCCGGGAAUUGCAUCUGAUACUGGUCAGCUAGAGUCUUGUAGAGGGGGGUAGAAUUCCAUGUGUAGCGGUGAAAUGCGUAGAGAUGUGGAGGAAUACCGGUGGCGAAGGCGGCCCCCUGGACAAAGACUGACGCUCAGGUGCGAAAGCGUGGGGAGCAAACAGG